rnacentral:rRNA from 1 species
CCUACGGGUGCUGCAGUGGGGAAUAUUGGACAAUGGGCGAAAGCCUGAUCCAGCCAUGCCGCGUGUGUGAAGAAGGCCUUCGGGUUGUAAAGCACUUUCAGUGGGGAAGAAAGCCUUGGGGCUAAUACCCUCGAGGAAGGACAUCACCCACAGAAGAAGCACCGGCUAACUCCGUGCCAGCAGCCGCGGUAAUACGGAGGGUGCGAGCGUUAAUCGGAAUUACUGGGCGUAAAGCGCGCGUAGGCGGUCUGAUAAGCCGGUUGUGAAAGCCCCGGGCUCAACCUGGGAACGGCAUCCGGAACUGUCAGGCUAGAGUGCAGGAGAGGAAGGUAGAAUUCCCGGUGUAGCGGUGAAAUGCGUAGAGAUCGGGAGGAAUACCAGUGGCGAAGGCGGCCUUCUGGACUGACACUGACGCUGAGGUGCGAAAGCGUGGGUAGCAAACAGGAUUAGAUACCCCAGUAGUC